UGUAAAUGAGUGUUUAAGGUAAACCCUAACCCCUAACCCUCCUCCAGGUACACACUAUAUAAAUGAGUGUUUAAGGUAAACCCUAACCCCUAACCCUCCUCCAGGUACACACUAUAUAAAUGAGUGUUUAAGGUAAACCCUAACCCCUAACCCUCCUCCAGGUACACACUAUAUAAAUGAGUGUUUAAGGUAAACCCUAACCCCUAACCCUCCUAUAGGUACACACUAUAUAAAUGAGUGUUUAAGGUAAACCCUAACCCCUAACCCUCCUCCAGGUACACACUAUAUAAAUGAGUGUUUAAGGUAAAC